rnacentral:piRNA from 1 species
UGACGAACCCUUACUGCUGAGUGAGCCAC